AACGGGUGCGUAACGCGUAAGCAACCUGCCUCAUACUGGGGGAUAGCCCGGCGAAAGCUGGGGUAAACCCGCACGGUCCAAUGGAAUCACCUGGUUUUAUUGGUAAACAUUUAUGGGUAUGAGAGGGGCUUGCGUCUGAUUAGUUAGUUGGCAGGGUAACGGCCUACCAAGACGAUGAUCAGUAGGGGUUCUGAGAGGAUUGGCCCCCACAUGGGUACUGAGAUACGGACCCAACUCCUACGGGAGGCAGCAGUAGGGAAUAUUGGGCAAUGGAGGCAACUCUGACCCAGCCAUGCCGCGUGCA
rnacentral:rRNA from 1 species